rnacentral:miRNA from 1 species
GAGGCGGCACUCUGGAAUGACACGUUUUCUCCCGGUUCGCCAGACCCACAGGAGCCAUCGGGAAACUCGUGUCAGCCAAGACUGAC